ACGAACGCUGGCGGCGUGCUUAACACAUGCAAGUCGAACGGAAAGGCCCUGCUUUUGUGGGGUGCUCGAGUGGCGAACGGGUGAGUAACACGUGAGUAACCUGCCCUUGACUUUGGGAUAACUUCAGGAAACUGGGGCUAAUACCGGAAAGGAGCUCCUGCUGCAUGGUGGGGGUUGGAAAGUUUCGGCGGUUGGGGAUGGACUCGCGGCUUAUCAGCUUGUUGGUGGGGUAGUGGCUUACCAAGGCUUUGACGGGUAGCCGGCCUGAGAGGGUGACCGGCCACAUUGGGACUGAGAUACGGCCCAGACUCCUACGGGAGGCAGCAGUGGGGAAUAUUGCACAAUGGGCGGAAGCCUGAUGCAGCAACGCCGCGUGCGGGAUGAUGGCCUUCGGGUUGUAAACCGCUUUCGCCUGUGACGAAGCGUGAGUGACGGUAAUGGGUAAAGAAGCACCGGCUAACUACGUG
rnacentral:rRNA from 1 species